AACGAACGCUGGCGGCAUGCCUAAUACAUGCAAGUCGAACGAGAUCUUCGGAUCUAGUGGCGCACGGGUGCGUAACGCGUGGGAAUCUGCCCUUGGGUUCGGAAUAACAGUUAGAAAUGACUGCUAAUACCGGAUGAUGACGAAAGUCCAAAGAUUUAUCGCCAAAGGAUGAGCCCGCGUAGGAUUAGCUAGUUGGUGAGGUAAAGGCUCACCAGGGCUACGAUCCUUAGCUGGUCUGAGAGGAUGAUCAGCCACACUGGGACUGAGACACGGCCCAGACUCGGACGGGAGGCAGAAGUAGGAAAGAUUGGACAAUGGGCGAAAGCCUGAUCCAGCAAUGCCGCGUGAGCGAUGAAGGCCUUAGGGUUGUAAAGCUCUUUUACCCGGGAUGAUAAUGACAGUACCGGGAGAAUAAGCCCCGGCUAACUCCGUGCCAGCCGCCGCGGUAA
rnacentral:rRNA from 1 species